rnacentral:tRNA from 1 species
GGAAGAGUGCCUGAAAGAUAAGGAUUUCCUUGAUAGGGAAACAAAUAGGGGUUCAAACCCCCUCACUUCCC